CCUACGGGUGGCAGCAGUGAGGAAUAUUGGUCAAUGGGCGGACGCCUGAACCAGCCAAGUCGCGUGAGGGAAGACGGUCCUAUGGAUUGUAAACCUCUUUAGUCGGGGAGCAACGCCGGGUACGCGUAGCCAGAGGGAGAGUACCCGCAGAAAAAGCAUCGGCUAACUCCGUGCCAGCAGCCGCGGUAAUACGGAGGAUGCGAGCGUUAUCCGGAUUUAUUGGGUUUAAAGGGUGCGUAGGCGGAAGGGCAAGUCAGGGGGAAAAUCGCGGGGCUCAACCUCGGUUCGCCGUUGAUACUGGUCGUCUAGAGUGGGCGUGAAGUAGGCGGAAUGCGUGGUGUAGCGGUGAAAUGCAUAGAGAGCACGCAGAACACCGAUUGCGAAGGCAGCAUACC
rnacentral:rRNA from 1 species